UUAAGCAGUUGAACGCAGAUGGAAAUAUCCCCGUCCAGCAAAAACGCCGGACAUAUUAAAAGUUUAAUAAUAAUCCUGGCCGCUACCUGUUAUAAAUUACUCUCCGGUAUGUUUCAAGAAAAAAAAAAAGAGCGUUAGUCUCCGUGUAAAUACGUAACGGCUAAUUAGUAAUUUUGGAGUUUUGUUCGUGUGUGUCAUCAAUUUCUACGGAUAUGGCAUCCUCCUCCACCCCCAGCUCCCCUGUUAAUCUGUUACCUGCGAAAAAAGAAGUAGAAUAUGUUAAUCUAAUGAGGCCGUGGUUUGAAUACUCCAAUCCAUUCAGCCCGUGGUUUCAACCCUCCAAUCCAUUCAGCGAUGACCCCCGCCCCUAUCCUGCCGAUGAGCUUAUCUCUAUCAAUCCUUAUGGACUCAAAUUUAUAGGUAAAGACUUCUAACCUAGUAAAGUACACUGUACAGCCUCAGAAAGGUAUACUGAAAGCAGGUUUAAAAACCACCGUAACAGUAACACUGCGAGCUCUGAAAGAAAUGCCGUACCAAAUGGAAUGCACCGACAUUUUUCUGGUCCAGAAUGUACGAGUGUCUCCUGCUGCCACUGUAGAAGAUAUCACUCCGUAAAUGGUGAGAAUCAUUGAAGUUUGGAGAUUCUUGUUCUGGAUCAAUUUUAUUCUUUUUUUCUUUCUUUCCUUUUUUUUUUUUUAUUACUGUCAGAGAGUUAGGAUGGCAGUUUAUAACACUGUGGUUCUACUUUUCUAAUGUCUAUGCAUAAGUUUCAAAAAGAGAAGGGGAAUUAUGUUGGGGAGCUCCAAAUGGGAGCUACUUAUGGUGUCCCCUAUGUGUCAGAUUCUGAGGAGGAGGAGACAUUUGAUAAUGCUACUGCUGUGAGUUCUUGUAAUAUGUUCAGUAUCAAAGCACUUGCUUCUUUUUUCUGACCA